UUAUGACGUUUGCUACACACGGGAUACAAUCUAUUGUCCAAAGGGCAGCAAAACCGCGAGGUCGAGCAAAUCCCAUAAAACCAUUCUCAGUUUGGAUUGUAGGCUGCAACUCGCCUACAUGAAGCUGGAAUCGCUAGUAAUCGCGGAUCAGCAUGCCGCGGUGAAUACGUUCCCGGGCCUUGUACACACCGCCCGUCACACCACGAGAGUUUGUAACACCCGAAGUACGGUGGGGUAACCUUUUGGAGCCAGCCGCCUAGAGGUGAUCAUU
rnacentral:rRNA from 1 species